UAACGUGAGCGUCCUAAGGUAGCGCGAUAAUUUGCUUUUCAAUUGAAGGAUGGUAUGAAAGGGUUAACGAAGAAGGUGCUGUGUCUAAAAAUUCAAUUUAAACUAACUUUAAGGUGAAGAGGCCUUUAUGUAAAAGAAGGACGACAAGACCCUAUGAAGCUUUAUCUUAAUAGGAGCUCUCAGGCUCUUAUACGAUUUUGAUGGGAGAUCAGUAGAAAGAAGUCUUCUACUAUCAUAUUAAUCUUACUAGUAUUUCCUAACUUUAUAUGUGUGGCUAGCUACUCUAGGGAUAACAGCGCAAUUUCUCCCGAAAGAUGGUAUUGGAGGGGAAGAUUGCGACCUCGAUGUUGGCUUUAGAUAUCCUAGAGGCGUAGAAGCUUCU
rnacentral:rRNA from 1 species